rnacentral:rRNA from 1 species
AUGAACGCUGGCGGCGUGCCUAAUACAUGCAAGUCGAGCGAACAGACGAGGAGCUUGCUCCUCUGACGUUAGCGGCGGACGGGUGAGUAACACGUGGAUAACCUACCUAUAAGACUGGGAUAACUUCGGGAAACCGGAGCUAAUACCGGAUAAUAUAUUGAACCGCCUGGUUCAAUAGUGAAAGACGGUUUUGCUGUCACUUAUAGAUGGAUCCGCGCCGCGUUAGCUAGUUGGUAAGGUAACGGCUUACCAAGGCAACGAUGCGUAGCCGACCUGAGAGGGGGGUACGCCCCAAGAGGAAGUGGACACGGGCCCAGACCCCAAGGGGGGGCGCGGGGGGGAAAUUUCCCGCAUGGGGGGAAGCCCGAAGGGACAAACCCGGGGGGGGUAGGGAGGUUUUUGGAUUCUAAAAACCUUUUUUUAGGGAAAAAAAAAAGUGUAAAGAAAUAUGGCCGGUUUGAGGGGACCCUAUUAGAAAGCCCCGGACAAAACCGUG